AAGGGAUCAACUCAUGCAUACAAUGCUCAAUCUCCAUUGCUCUACCCUUUUCCCAAACAUACAAUUACACAAUCAUUCACAAAUGUCAAACCCAACUCACAUCUCUCACCAAAAGAUCCUAAGAACAUUAACUCCUUCUCUAUGAAAUCUACAAGGGAUUUUUCACAACCUCAAAACAUUACUUAGCUCCUAACAACUUUGCUAGCCCCCUUUUUCUUUCUUUUUCUUUUCUUUUCAUAUUUUUUUUUUUUUUUUUAAAUGGGGGCCAAGACUUUUCAUAACUUGAGGUAGAGGUUUUUCUACUUAUCCCAAUAAGACAAUUCACUUAAACACAAAGAGUCAUUUCUUUUCUUUUUUCAUUGCUCCCAAAUCAUAAUCACAACUCUCACCCCC
rnacentral:lncRNA from 1 species